AUUGACGUCGAAAGGGUCUGCGGAGCUCCUGUGUCUGGUUAGUUUCCAGGGUAUCAGAGCAGUACCCUUACUAUAAUCUAUCAUUACUUCAUAAAAGCUGUUUCAGUCGUGAAAAUGCUGAUGAUCAAGAUGUGCCUCGCCAUCCAGAAAGCUUGACAGGAAACCAAUAAGACAGAAGAAAAUCCAGAACACACAUAUAGGCACAAACGCACACGGAGACCCAAGAAAUGAAAGAGAAGUAUAUCCAGAAACCGAAUGAAACAGAAGCCAGUGCCGAAAAGGUCAGUUUGUGGAGAUGGCAGGUUUUCAAGAUGACUGCUUGAGUGAGGUAAGAGUCACAGUUGGUGACCCAUCAUGCAUGCAGUACCAGUUCUAUCUCACAGCCAGACUCAGGGAAAAAUCAGGUGGGAAACAUUCCUAUUCAAAAGUAAAUAGCACAAUUGGGAAACAAAUUCAGAAGGAAUUCUACUUUGAGCUGUGCUGAGAGCAUCCAUCCCCUCAGCUCUUUCCCAGACUAAAGACUUCUACUGAUGAUAAUUCAGGAUCAUACUUCUGAGUACCUAUUCUUAAAUGGUGGAUUACUGACUUAAUAAUCCAUAGACAACUAUACUUGUUUUCAAAACUCAAAAUAAUAACAGUUACAUUUCUAAAAGGUUUUACUUUAAAUGGCAAAUUUCAACAACCACAAUUUAGAGCUGAAUAGAAUGAAUCUUUCUUUCAUGCAGUUGCAAAAUAAAGGUUUACCAGGAUUCA
rnacentral:lncRNA from 1 species